rnacentral:lncRNA from 1 species
UUACCCAUUCAGUGAUUAUUAGAAUCAUUGUCAUCCUUUUACUUGCAGACAGAUAAAACUGUCUAUAUGAAAUAAUGGAGAAAAAAGAAUAACACUUUAUUUUAUUUUAUUUUAUUUUAUUUUAUUUUAUUUUAUUUUAUUUUAAUGUCCUGGAAACCGGAAGCCUAAGUUAAGUAUAAUCUCUGCUUCCAACCUAGUGAAGUACACAAAAUGCCAAUAAGUCUGAUGGAAUUAAUCACCACAUCGUGGAACUGGGAGUAAAAUGUGAGUAGCACAUAGGGAAGAGAGCAGAGACUUUUUACCUUCUUCCCUGUGAGGCUUUUGCGGUAGCAGCAAUCGCUAUCUGUAAGUACCACUCCUACCAUGGAGUGCAGAAAGGCCAAAUAGAAAAAAGUUGGGCAAAACUGGUAUAUCUUCCUUGUCCACCUACCCAGCAGGGGGCAACCAUAGAUUCAGAAUUGUCCUUUUGGAGACCCAGCAACAGAAAAGCACAUCUUCUUUGACUGUGACAUUGGAGGGCUCGGGGAAAUGGAAAUGUACACCAGAUGAACCUAAAAGCUUAGAUCAAUAAGCGCUACAAUGCUUAAGAAGAAUCUUUAAACUGAGCCUUAACCUUACUGUGAUAUGUCCUAGAAAAAACACUGUUUCUGUUAGCAAGCUUGUUUUUAUGCUUCUCUUAAAUUGCUUUUUGUAUACCAAGGUGUAUGUUGCUAUAGGUAACUGUUAACAGGAAUACUUUGAGGUCAUAGGUAUAUUAUUAACUGGACAACACCAGUACACUUUUUUUUUUUUUUCAGUCUGCUUGCAGAACAGAUGCAGUCUUAGCAUUUAUAAAUGGCAGCUUGUAGUUAUAAGAGUCCAUAAAGACAAAUAACUUGUAUUGCCUUCUUAGAUUUUCAAUCCUCUUAUAAUGGAAAUAAGGUUUUGUCUUCUAGUGAAUACAAUUGUCACACAGUAAUUGAGUCCCAGAAAAAAAUCAUUAUACAUAUUUAUUAAAAAUGGUACUGUUUCAUUUAUCUUGUGAAACACUCAGUUCUUUCUGAUACCUUCCAGAACAUGUAGCUGUCUGCAAAGCAGACAUCAGUCGAUGUGAAUUCACAACGGGAAGUGCUAAUGCCCAGGUAGCAGAGGCUUAGGAGGCAAGGGUGUCCAGGUCAGGUGCUUGUCUGUGAGAAGUGCCAAAGCCAACAAAUACACUCUUGAAUCUUGUGGGGUCGAUGUUGUUACUGUGCCUGCUGCAGUUUGGAUAUCUGCAUGUAUAAAAAGAUGGGCUAAGCAGGCAGCAGUAGUGGUGGAAGGAGCCUUGUGAGUAAGAAAAAGAAUAUGGAUGGACAUGGCUGUGUGCUGGAAAGAAUACAGCCUGUAGGAGACAUUCAGGCUAUUUGCCUAGAGCACUCUAAUGUCUUGCUAUAAUUAGGAGCAAAUGACUGGAUGAGGAUCAAAUGAAAAGAGGAACUGAUGAUCACCC